rnacentral:misc_RNA from 1 species
CCUUGGCAUAGCAAUGAUUCAUCCCUGAAACAGAUGGAUGAAAAUUAAUAAGCCAUAUCCGAGUUAGAUAUGACAAAAUGCAUUCCUACCCAAAUUUCAAAGAGGCACUGGACUCGAACACCAUUAAAUUAUUAACUAAAAAUAUAAAGUUUCGGAUAUCACAAAAUUUGCUACAUAGUCAAUCUCGUGUUGAAGAAAGAGGGCAGAUAAAUAAAUGGUCAUGAGGGCAGAAGUAAAUAGUUCUAUUAUGAAUUUAUUAUUUCCUUUAACAUUUUCUAUGCACUGCAAGCUGUGAACACAAAGUUUGUUAGAUCUAACAAAUUUCAGAUAUAUAAAGCCAUGUGUAACCAGAGAGAAUUCAUUGAAUCAAUAAUAGAAAAAUCUAAAUUCCUCCCUGACCUCUUAUUCUACUUUCUCUGAAUCUCUCUGCUACUCUCUAUCACUCAUCACUAUUCUUCCCUUCUCCUCAAUUUUUCUGGACUGAAAUUCAGUCCUAACAACUGGCAUGUUAUCAAAGCAGAACGAUAACUGGGAAUUGUUUCUGCAAUAAGUAAGAAUGCGAGGAACACGAAGGAGUUGAAUCUGAUGAGCAAGUUACAGGAGGAGUUGUCGAGCAGCUGCAACUUUCACAGAAUAGAAUCACCGAAAUAAACAAUUCAGGGUUGCAGGGACCUGAAGCGCUUCAGCAAGAAAACUUGAAGUGAUUUGAAACUUUAAGUGAUUUGAGGAGAUUUGUUUGAAGCAGCUUUCCUGGAUGAAGGAUUAUCAAUUUAUCAGAUAUCAUAGACCAAUUACGAGGAGUUGAGAUCAAGGAUCCAUGGAUUGCAAUCUGAAGGUUAGAAGUCGUUCAAAAACCUCACCUGAUUAAUUCAGAAUAUGAAUCAAGGUAAGGAACCCGUAACUGUAGUCGAAUGUUCUAGAGAAAAUAGAGGAAUCUUGCCAACUCCUUGCGAGCAAAUUGAUAGCAGUAGUCAUCAUCAAACAAUUACUACUUAUUGAAGCAAAUUGCUGCAUAAAGUAGUUUUACCUACUUUCAAGGGAGAAGAUCCCAGAUCCUGGUUAACCAAAUGUAGGAGAUAUUUUCACAUCCAUGAGGUGCAAGAAACCAAGCAAGUGGGAAACCAUAGAUGUGUUUUCUGAACUGGAGAAUGGAGAGAGGAAACAUUGGGUGGGAAUAAUUUAAGAAAGCUUUGUGUGAGCAAUUUCGGUAUAUAUUGAUGGAGGAUGUAGUAGAGUCAUUUAACUCUGAGUCAAGAUGGGAGUGUCAAGGAGCUUCAGAUAAAAUUUGAGGAGGCUGAGGAAAAAUUGAGGAAGAAAUAGGGAAAGAUUUGUUUCCAGGGAAAGAAGAGAAAUUGAAGAAGAAACAAGAAUAGAAGAUAGAAAGAAGAAGAAGAAAUCUGGAAUUUGGGAAGCCGUGAAUAGUUGGCUCUAUACCAACCGUUACA